AUUGAACGCUGGCGGCAGGCCUAACACAUGCAAGUCGAACGAGUGGCGGAGGGGAGAGCAAUGUCUGGGAAACUGCCUGGUGGAGGGGGAUAACAAAUGGAAACGGUAGCUAAUACCGCAUAACAUCAGAUGGGCCCAGAUGGGAUUAGCGUGGUGGUGGGGUAAAGGCUCACCAAGGCGACGAUCCCUAGCUGGUCUGAGAGGAUGACCAGCCACCCUGGAACUGGGACACGGUCCAGACUCCUACGGGAGGCAGCAGUUGGGACUAUUGCACAAUGGGCGCAAGCCUGAUGCAGCCAUGCCGCGUGUCUGAAGAAGGCCUUCGGAUUGUAAAGUACUUUCAGCGGGGAGGCGUUACCCACAGAAUAAGCACCGGCUAACUCCGUGCCAGCAGCCGCGGUAAUUC
rnacentral:rRNA from 1 species